rnacentral:rRNA from 1 species
GAUGAACGCUGGCGGCGUGCUUAACACAUGCAAGUCGAACGGAAAGGCCCAAGCUUGCUUGGGUACUCGAGUGGCGAACGGGUGAGUAACACGUGGGUGAUCUGCCCUGCACUUCGGGAUAAGCCUGGGAAACUGGGUCUAAUACCGGAUAGGACGAUGGUUUGGAUGCCAUUGUGGAAAGUUUUUUCGGUGUGGGAUGAGCUCGCGGCCUAUCAGCUUGUUGGUGGGGUAAUGGCCUACCAAGGCGUCGACGGGUAGCCGGCCUGAGAGGGUGUACGGCCACAUUGGGACUGAGAUACGGCAGACUCCUACGGGAGGCAGCAGUGGGGAAUAUUGCACAAUGGGCGCAAGCCUGAUGCAGCGACGCCGCGUGGGGGAUGACGGCCUUCGGGUUGUAAACUCCUUUCGCUAGGGACGAAGCGUUUUUGUGACGGUACCUGGAGAAGAAGCACCGGCUAACUACGUG